rnacentral:rRNA from 1 species
CUAAGUACCUGGAGGAAGAGAAAGAAAAAUCGAUUUCCUGAGUAGCGGCGAGCGAAACGGAAAGAGCCCAAACCAAGAAGCUUGCUUCUUGGGGUUGUAGGACACUCUAUACGGAGUUACAAAAGAAAGUUAUAAAUGAAGCGGUCUGGAAAGGCCCGCCAAAGACGGUAACAGCCCGGUAGUUGAAAUGGCUUUCCCUCCAGAGUGGAUCCUGAGUACGGCGGAACACGUGAAAUUCCGUCGGAAUCCGGGAGGACCAUCUCCCAAGGCUAAAUACUCCCUAGUGACCGAUAGUGAACCAGUACCGUGAGGGAAAGGUGAAAAGCACCCCGGAAGGGGAGUGAAACAGUUCCUGAAACCGUGU